rnacentral:lncRNA from 1 species
GUAAAAGCACAAUACAGCAAUAAAGGGAGAUGAUCCCUGCUCACAAGGUGCUCACAGUCUAGAGGUGGGGAAACAGACAUCAGUAGAGAUAAACAGGCAUGAAGACAUCAAUACAAGCAAUCGGGCAUCAAUAUAAAUAAAUAAAAUUACAGAUCUAUACAUAGGUGCUGUGGGGCCGGGAGAGGGGGAAGAACAAAGGGAGCGAGCCAGGGUGACACGGGAGUGGGAGAUGAGGAAAAGUGGAGCUUAGUCUGGGAAGGCCUCAGGUGCUUGGGUGCCACAGUAAGGAGUGAAGGUAAAGUUGGGCAGAUAAGAAAUUAGUCCGGGGCCAGGGGAGGACUGAGGACAGCAGAGUUCUGCCUUAUGUGGGCGGGGAGGGAUCUGUAGGCAAGGAAAGAGGGUGUGAGCAUGGAGUCGAUAGCAAGAGAGGCGAGAGCGAGGCUCAGUGCGGAGGUCAGCCUUGGAGGAGCAAAGAGUGAGUGUGCGGGCCGCCGAAGGGCGGGCUGGUAGUGGGGGCGGAGUGUGGAAGGGAGGAUAAGGAAAGGGGCCCGAGCUGAUUGGUGGAGUCCCCUCCCGGCAGUGCCCAGCCCCAGCGACAUCAUGGUCCUUCCCCCUCUGCUCCCAGAGCUGGUGCCCCGGUCGCCAGCUGGGCACCGGGGGUGGGGGAGGGGCGGGGGCAGACCGACACCUGGCGUUUUCUCCCCGCCCCCGCCAUAAACCCUGCUCCCGAUGGUUCAGUGGUCCCGGAAACACUGCUGCUUACAGGAAUGGAGCCAAGGAUCCAAGGAUAACGAAGGAUAAAUGGAAAUGCUGUAGAAUUCCAAGGUACAGUAUGCCUCCCAAUUACCUGCAUUGUGGAUCAUCUACCCCGGGCAGGUUCUCCUGCUGCCCUGAAUUGACCACCCUAUGUUGGUCCUCCUCUCCUCCAAGCCCUGGAUUAACUGCCCUAUGAGCAUUCUCUCCCCCCACCUCCACCCCCCAAAAAAUAGCUGCACAUGUCCAGAAAUGUUUCCCUCUUUCUGAACGCUGAUCUUAAGGAUCUGUCCAGGCUCAAGGACUCGAGAGAUAUGGGAACCUGGAAUCUUUUCUUUCGAACCGGACAUCGUUCCUUCCCGAGGGAGAGACUUGGGUCCUUUAAAAGCUGAGUUUGGAGGCAAGCCUGUGGACCGGUGAUUGGACAUGCGUAUGGGUGCGUUAUCCUCCCUGUUCAAUGUUCAGUGAAGUUACUGGCUGGGGCCUAGGUGGAGGUGGGAGGAGGCCCGGCUGGCUGGUCCAACCCCCUGUGGCCUCCCCAGCCUGGACGGCCCCCCACCAAAAUUCAUACGUGUUUCUGGUGAACUUGGGCCCCUUGGUCUUCCAUUGUCCAGGGAAUGUGU